rnacentral:rRNA from 1 species
GAGGGGUGAACGGCCACAUUGGGACUGAGACACGGCCCAAACUCCUACGGAAGGCAGCAG